rnacentral:rRNA from 1 species
UACGUAGGGGGCAAGCGUUGUCCGGAUUUAUUGGGCGUAAAGAGCGUGUAGGCGGCCACACAGGUCAGCUGUGAAAACUCGAGGCUCAACCUCGAGACGUCGGUUGAAACCGUAUGGCUAGAGUCCGGAAGAGGAGAGUGGAAUUCCCGGUGUAGCGGUGAAAUGCGUAGAGAUCGGAAAGAACACCAACGGCGAAAGCACUCUGCUGGGCCGACACUGACACUGAGAGACGAAAGCUAGGGGAGCGAAUGGG